ACGUGUAGCAGUGAAAUGGGUAGAUAUGGGGAGGAACACAGAUGGGGAAGGCAGCUCCUUGGGAUAAUACUGACGUUCAUGCAGGAAAGCGUGGGGAGCAACCAGGAUUAGAUACCUUGGUAGUCCACCCCUUAAAGGAUGUCAAUUAGCUGUUGGGGCCUUCGGGCCUUAGUAGCGCAGCUAACGCGUGAAGUUGACCGCUUGGGGAGUACGGUCGCAAGAUUAAAACUCAAAGGAAUUGACGGGGACCCGCCCAAGCGGUGGAUGAUGUGGAUUAAUUGGAUGCAACGGGAAAACCCUUACUUACCCUUGACAGGUCUGGAAUCCGGAAGAGAUCUGGGAGUGCUCGCAAGAGAACCGGAACACAGGUGCUGCAUGGCUGUCGUCAGCU
rnacentral:rRNA from 1 species